CGGUUGAUCCUGCCGGAGGCCACUGCUAUUGGGAUCCGAUUAAGCCAUGCGAGUCGAGAGGGUUCGGCCCUCGGCAGACGGCUCAGUAACACGUGGAUAAUCUGCCCUUAGGUGGAGGAUAACCUCGGAAAACUGAGAAUAAUACUCCAUAGGUCUAGAAGGCUGGAAUGCAUCUAGGCUAAAAGCUCAGGCGCCUAAGGAUGAGUCCGCGGACUAUCAGGUAGUAGUCAGGGUAAAGACCUGACUAGCCUACGACGGAUACGGGUUGUGAGAGCAAUUGCCCGGAGACGAUAUCUGAGACACGAUAUCGGGCCCUACGGGGCGCAGCAGGCGCGAAACCUUCACACUGUGCGAGAGCACGAUGAGGGGAUCCCAAGUGCUAGCUCGUAAGAGUUAGCUGUUUCUCUGUCUAAAAAACAGAGAGAGUAAGAGCUGGGUAAGACGGGUGCCAGCCGCCGCGGUAAUACCUGCAGCUCAAGUGGUGGCCGCUAUUAUUGGGCCUAAAACGUUCGUAGCCGGUUUAGUAAAUGCUUGGGUAAAUUGUGUCGCUUAACGAUACGAAUUCCGGGUAGACUGCUAAACUUGAGACCGGGAGAGGCUAGAGGUACUCCUGGGGUAGAGGUGAAAUUCUGUAAUCCUAGGGGGACCACCAGUGGCGAAAGGCGUCUAGCUAGAACGGGUCUGACGGUGAGGGACGAAGCCCUGGGGCGCAAACCGGAUUAGAUACCCGGGUAGUCCAGGGUGUAAACGCUGCUCGCUUGAUGUUAGUUGGGCUCCGAGCCCAACUAGUGUCGGGGAGAAGUUGUUAAGCGAGCUGCCUGGGAAGUACGGUCGGACGACUGAAACUUAAAGGGAUUGGCGGGGGAGCAC
rnacentral:rRNA from 1 species